rnacentral:lncRNA from 1 species
ACAUACAAGUAUAGCCAAAUCAAGAUGAGACGUGACGGACGGUCAGAGGCCGCAGCGGGACUAUCAUAGGAAAGCCAGCGGGAGGCGAUAGCCCGGCCAGAGAAAGAACGAGGCCGGCGAGAUACAAUUUUGUGGUGGAUUUGAAGGACCUGAUCAUCGUGCCUAAUAUAGCUGAGAGAUUGAGGCGACCGCGAAGUCCGAUAAGGUGUUGGGGCCUCGGAAAGACUCUUGGUGUGAGUUCCACGAGGCUUUCGGUCACCACAUUGAUAACUGCCUGUCGUUGGGUUACCAGCUGGAUGAGCUGGUGAGAACCGGGUUUUUGAAGGAUUAUGUCGCAGAGCCCACAACGACCGCCACCUUGCCGUCGCCAGCGGAAGAACAAGCACACGAGACGCCGGUUCUCGGCGAGGUUCAUACCAUAGCUGGGGGAUUUUCUGGCGGAGGACCCACCGCCUCCCAACGAAAGAAAUACGCGAGGGGGGUCAACUCGAUCGAAGAAAGAAUCUCGGGUGAGCCGUGGGAGUCGGACCUCGUAUUCACGAGAGGGGAUCUCCGAGACGUGGUGCCGCACGACAAUGACCCCGUGGUCAUUUCAGUUGUCACAGCUGGGAGAAAGGUGCACAGAGUUCUUGUCGACCAGGGAAGUUCAGCAGACGUCAUGUUCUGGUCGACAUUCAAUAAGUUGUGGUUAUCCCUCGACCUUUUGAGGCCCUACACAGGAUGCCUGUAUGGGUUUGUGGACAACCAGGUGGAAGUCCGAGGCUACCUGGAGUUGAGGACUACGUUCACGGACGGAGAGGCCUCGCGUACCGAAAGCAUCCGGUACUUGGUCGUGAACGCCAGCUCCGCUUACAACAUCUUGUUGGGCAGGCCUGCGUUGAACCCGUUGAACGCAGUAGCCUCCACACGCCAUAUGAAGAUGAAGCUGCUGGACCUCAGUGGCAAGGUGAUAAUCAUCAAGUCAGACCAGGAGGAGGCAAGGAAAUGCUAUGAGAACAGCCUGAAAACGAAGAGAGGCGUGUUCAUGGUGUAUGAGCGUCCGCCGUGUGCAGACACGACGAUGAUUGAGGCGACGCCCGCGGCGUCAACGCCUAACGAGGCCAUACCCGCGAGGGUGACGCCAGAAACAGAUGCACCCAUGGAGGAAGGCCUGGGCGACGCGGUGCCCGUGGAAGAGGCGGCGCCCGUCGAGGAUGAUAGCAGGGAACAACCGGCGGCUAACGCCGUGGAGAGGGAGAUUGGCGACAAAACGUUUAGGUUGGGAAGUUUGCUGAGCCUAGAAGAACAGAAAAGGGUGGCAGAAGUGAUUUCGCGCCACCUGGAUGCCUUCGCAUGGUCCGCCUUGGACAUGCCCGGAAUCGACCCUGAUUUCCUGUGUCAUCACCUCAGCAUGGACGCCACGGUCCGCCCAGUGCGCCAAAGAAGGAGAAAGUUUAACGAGGAGAGACAGCAGGUGGUAAAGGAUGAAACACAGAAGCUGUUGAGUGCUGGCCACAUUAGGGAGAUUCAAUACCCCGAGUGGCUGGCCAACGUCGUCUUGGUGAAAAAGGCGAAUGGAAAGUGGAGGAUGUGCGUGGACUUCACGGACUUGAAUAAGGCGUGCCCGAAGGACUCGUACCCACUGCCCAGCAUCGACGCGUUGGUGGAUAGUGCAUCCGGCAGCAAGGUGCUGAGCUUCCUGGACGCAUUCUCAGGGUACAACCAGAUCAAGAUGCACCCGAGAGAUGAGAGUAAAACUGCAUUCAUGACUGAGACUUGCAGUUACUGUUAUAAGGUGAUGCUUUUUGGGCUGAAAAACGCGGGCGCCACAUACCAAAGGUUAAUGGACAAGGUCCUGGCGCCCAUGCUAGGGAGGAAUGUGUACGCCUACGUAGAUGACAUGGUGGUGGCGUCGCAGGAUAGGGCACAACACAUGGCAGACCUGGAGGAGUUGUUCGUCACAAUAUCCAAGUACCGCCUCAAGUUAAACCCUGAGAAGUGUGUUUUCGGGGUAGAGGCCGGUAAGUUCUUGGGUUUUAUGCUCACAGAGAGGGGGAUAGAAGCGAACCCCGACAAAUGCGCAACGAUUAUCGCCAUGCGAAGCCCGACGUCGGUAAAGGAAGUGCAGCAGCUGACCGGGCGGAUGGCGGCACUUUCAAGGUUUGUUUCCGCCGGGGGAGAGAAGGGGCACCCAUAUUUUCAGUGCCUCAAGAGAAAUAGUCGUUUUGCAUGGACUGAGGAAUGCGAAGCGGCUUUCAUUAAGUUGAAGGAGUACCUGGCGACGCCACCGGUCCUCUGCAAAUCGGUAACAGGUGUGCCCCUCCGACUAUAUUUUACGGUAACGGAACAGGCUAUCAGCUCUGUGUUAGUCCAAGAGCAGGACCAGAGUCAAAAGCCCAUCUAUUUCGUGAGCAAGGCAUUACAAGGCACUGAGACGAGAUACCAAGCGCUGGAGAAGGCAGCGUUAGCGGUGGUGUUUUCAGCCAGGAGGCUCCGUCAUUACUUCCACAGCUUUACGGUGGUAGUGAUGACAAACCUCCCUAUACAGAAGGUGCUGUAGAAGCCUGACGUGGUGGGAAGAAUGGUGCGCUGGGCGGUGGAGCUGUCAGAAUUCGACAUUCAGUAUGAGCCUAGAGGAUCCAUCAAAGGGCAAGUGUACGCAGAUUUUAUAGCGGAACUUUCGCCCGGAGGUGAGCAAGAGGUGGAAGUGGGCUCGCAGUGGCUGCUCUCGGUUGAUGGCUCUUCCAACCAACAAGGGAGUGGUGCGGGAAUAGUCUUGGAGGGACCCAACGGCGUACUGAUUGAGAAAGCUCUGCGCUUCGCCUUCAAGGCAAGUAACAAUCAGGCGGAAUACGAAGCCCUGAUAGCAGGAAUGUUUUUGGCCAAGGAGAUGGGCGCGCAGAACCUCCUGGUGAAAAGCGAUUCCCAGCUGAUUACGGGGCAGGUGUCGGGUGAGUUCCAGGCGAAGGACCCACAGAUGGCGGCGUACCUAAGAUACGUCCAACUAUUGAAGGGAGCAUUUAACGCUCUUGAGCUGAUACAUGUCCCAAGGGAGCAGAAUGCCAGAGCCGACCUGCUUGCCAAGCUGGCCAGCUCAGGCAAGGGGGGUAGGCAGAGGACAGUGAUCCAGGAGACGCUCAAAGCUCCGCGUAAAUUCGUGGAAGAUAACAGGGUGAAUGUCCUCCAGAUCUGCACAUCAAGAGAGAGUCCAAGGAAUCAUCGUUCUCUGACCCAAGAUACGCUGAAGACGCCCCGCAUCAGCACGUACGUGGACAUGCCUGAAGAAGGAAGGCAAAUGCAAGUAUGUGUCCUAACCGAGGGAGACACCUGGAUGACGCCAUACAAACGGUACCUGGCGGAUGGGACUCUCCCAGUGGAGCCGGAAGAGGGUAAGAAGGUCAAAAGAAACUCUGGUGGAUGGGGUGUUGUUCAGACAUGGGUUCACGCACCCUAUCCUAACGUGCGUAAGUGGCGACGAGUGUACCAGGAUAAUGGCGGAGCUCCACGAAGGCAUUUGCGGGAGCCACGUAGGAGGAAGGUCCUUAGCCUCCAAGGUAAUACGCGCAGGGUUCUUCUGGCCGACAGUAAAAGAGGACUGCGCGCGACACACCCAGCGCUGCAGGCAAUGCCAAAAGCACGCUGACUGGCACAAGGCGCCGCCAGAAGAACUGCGAUCCAUAUAUAGCCCAUGGCCUUUUCAUACAUGGGGAAUCGACAUCCUGGGGCCGUUCCCACUGGCGAUAAGGCAGAUGAAGUAUUUGAUCGUGGCCAUCGAGUACUUCACCAAGUGGAUAGAGGCAGAGCUCGUGGCACAGAUUACUGCGCACAAGGUACAGCACUUUGUGUGGAAGAACAUUGUGUGCCGCUUUGGCGUACCUAGGCGCUUGAUAUCCAAUAACGGGACCCAGUUUGCCAGUCAGCAGUUGAGAAAUCUGUGCGCUGAGGUAGGUAUCAAGCAAGUGUUCGCAUCAGUCGAACACCCCCAGACCAACGGGCAAGUGGAGUCAGCAAACAGAGUUCUGCUGAGGGGGUUAAAGAGAAGGUUGGAGAAGGCCAAAGGGGCGUGGGCGGAGGAAGUUCCAAGGAUCGUAUGGGCAUACCACACCACGCCCCAAUCUUCUACCAUGGAGACGCCUUUCAGUUUGGUGUACGGGUCGGACAUGAUGAUCCUGGUAGAAAUACAUGAAAGCUCACCACGUUUUCAAAACUUUGUGGCGGAGGAAUCCAACGAAGAAAGGCGGGUAAACCUGGAUCUACUAGACGAAGCCAGGGAAGAAGCCAGGAUAAAAGCUGAAGCGAUGAAGAGAAGAGUAGAGCGGCAAUAUAGCUCUAAGGUAAAGCCGCGAUAGUUUCAGAUUGGCGACCUAGUUAUGAGGAAAGUCCACCCAUACGAGCUGGAGAAUAAGCUGUCUCCCAAGUGGACCGGACCCUUUAGAGUUACCGAGGCUAAGGGCAACGGUUCAUACAGCCUGGAGACCUUGGAUGGAGGUCCCAUCCCGCGCAGUUGGAAUGCAGCCAACGUGAAGUUUUAUUUUAGUUGACUUAUGUAAAACAGCUAUGUAACAGUUUUGAUAAAGGGGACGCUCUUUUUCCCCUUCCGGGGUUUUUUAAUGAGGUCACCCAAAUAAAAGAAAAAACAAGUUUGAGAAAAAGCCGUGCCUUGGUUUUCAGUCUUUAUCUUUCUCCGUUUGAAGUAGUGUGAGGCGUCGCUAAUAAAAGGGGCGUCGCCAAGAAAGAAGGCGUCGCCAAGAAAGAAGGCGUCGCCAAUAAAGAAGGCGUCGCCCAGAAGAAAGGCGUCGCCAAGAAGAAAGGUGUCGCCUGAGUGCAGGCGCCGUUAAGGAACAUGACGGAGGAAAAGCGCACAAUAUAUGAGACGUAUGCAAAGUAAAGCGGCGUUGCAAAAACCAAGUAUGGUAUAGUAAAGUUGAUGUUACAAGCAGUGUUCGAUACAAAUGGGAGUAAUGCGAAUAGGGCAAACAUUACAACUCAUGCAAAACGCGAAAAUAACCACUCUUCAGUGGCCAUCGGAGUCAGCACGGGAAGAAGACGAAGCCCCGCUCUCAGUCCGCAAAGCUCGGGUAAGUCGCGUCCUCCGCUCUUGGUUGAUUUUCGAUCCUGCACCAAGGAAGAUGAACGUGUCAGAGACACCAUGAAGCAAAACACACCCAGAUAGAGAAUGAUAAAGGCGGAAGUUUCUAGGGCAGUAACUCAUACCUAUAUACUUUUCGAGAGUUCCGGCGUUGAACUCCAAACUUAUCAAGGUGGCGGAGUCAAAACCUCCCGCCUCAGCGAGAAUCCGGCAAACCACCUGGUCAUUUGGGGCAAGCUUCUUGAAGGGUUUGGAUUUGAGGGCCCUCGUCUCCCUCACCCAGUACAGUGGAAAACCAUCCAGGGCGGAGGGAACGAGAUCAGAACAGCAGACCUUGAAGAACCGGCCUUUCCACUCAGUAAAGGAGGUCUGGAAAGGGGUCAGGAGAACUCUGCCAGGAACGUUACUGAGAGUUACCCAGAGGUUGUGCCUUUGCCUCUUAUCUCGAAGAAGUGAAGAAAGAGGUCAACCGAGGGUGCACAACCCAGAAACCCGAAAAGGAUGUCAAAGGCUUUAACAAAAGCCCAGCUGUUGGGGUAUAACUGGGCCGUAGCGACAUUGAUCUCCGUCAGCAGUUCCUUCUCAAACCUGGAGAAGGGCAGGCGCACGCCGAUGGUUUUGAAAACCACCUGAUAGAAGUAAAAGAAGGGGACCCCGUCGUUGGCCCGUUCAUCUCCGCAUACUGGCUCCCCUAGAGUGCAAGGAAGCACAGCAAUGUCGUCAUCAUGCCUCCUCGCGAAGGCACGGUGAUUAUAGAAGCAUGAAUCCCCUUUGUGUUCCCUUAUGGCCCUGGUGGAGAGUAAGCAGGAGCAUUCGUCAAGAAGCUCCCUCGAAGCCCAAGGAUACAGGUCCUUGGGGUUGACCCUGGGGGGAGUAGCACGAGAAGACAUUCUUGAACAGAAUCAGGGAGGUUUGAAGUUUUGGCAAGGGUAAAACGCUGGUGGGAUCGAACACUGGAAGAACUCUUCGCGAGAGGAGAAAGGGUGCAGGUAGGUUACGAAAGGCGCAAAAAUGAUGAGGGCAGUUUCAAAGUUUUGAAGAAUUAAAUAUUGCGGUUAGAGCGCCAAACGACGCAAAUGGAAGUAUUGCAGUUAGAGCACUAAACGACGCGAAUGGAUGCACCGCAGUGGCAGAAGAUGGAAGGAUGGCCCUGACACCACUGGUUAAACUCAAAAAACGUCGUAUCGACAGAAUGCCCAAUGGUACGAUGCGCCGUCGAGAGUGGGUCAGGGGCACAGUAGGAGUCAGGACCAAGUCGAAUGACUGAAUGUCCCAUCAGCCAUACAAGAAGCGCCACGUGGAUGGCACAGGCGAAACCUUGAACUCUUCGCUGUCCUCAGGCGUCGACCAGGGCCAAGGUCAAAGUCAAUGCCAAGGUAAAGAUGAUGCCCAAGGCGACGCCAGCAUGAGACGCUCGAGGCGUCGCCAGGAAAGACGCAAAGGGCGACGCCAGCAUGAGACGUUGCGGGCGUCGCCAACCCAAAUAUCAGCAGUGCCGCCUCCCCGAUACCCACAGGUAGGAAAGACUGUGGAGGGAGACGAAAUCGAAGAAAGCAAAGCUAGUUAGCGGCGUCGCCUCCCCGAUACCCACAGGUAGGAAAGACUGUGGAGGGAGACGAGAUCGCCAAACGCCAGCAAGUCACUGACAGGGUUGUUCCCCGAUACCUAUGGGAAGGAAAAACCAUGAAGGGAACGACCCCCCUCCCCCAGAGCACUCGGCGUUUUAAACACCCGGGGACGAUACGACGCUGCUGUGGCAGGCCUCUCCUUAGGCGUGGGCGCCGGGCACUAAGAAUCAAGGGACGGAUCGCUUUGGUGUUAGAGACACCCCGUGGACGAUACGGCCCCGUUAGGCAAGCCUCUCCAUGGGCGUGGGCAUCGAUGCAUGACCUUCCCCGGACAUACAAGGUCGCCCAACGCAAUGAAAGAAACAGGUAUAGUACAGGCAAACGACCGAAGCACGUGAAGGCAAAGAAUGAGAGUAAGAUCACACAGGCAGAAUUCUAUAUCGCGACGGCACGAAAGUAAUCAUACAAAAACCCAGAGUUGUAACAAGAGUGCAGACGAUUCAAAGAAUUACAAGUUUAUCAAAGAAGGUUAAAACAAGUGUAAAGGAAUGAACUGAUGAUCAAGGGUGGCGGUUCAAUCGUCCAUCUCCAGGGGCACGACUUUUCCAUCAACAAUGUGGUGAGUGGAAUCGCAGUUGGAAAUGUCGAUCCCCGGAUUCAUGCAGACAGCUUGGGCCAGAGCCUCCUGGAAUCCCUCCUCGAAAGUGCCCGCCAUGUCCUGGAUGAGGGUCUUUUUGUCCUUCUCUAGCUCCUCAAUGGUGGCGUCCCCAGAAGCUACCUGCUUCUCCAAAGCCUCCUUCUCCACGCGGAGUCGGCUGACCUCGACUUGCAGUUUGUCGUAGUCAGCCUGGAGAAGGCCCAUAGCUUUGGCCUGGGUAGCCAUUUCCCCUUCCAUCCGCUCCAUGCGUCAGCUUGCUCACAGCAGCGGGCCUUCAAGUCUUUUUGAACUUCUUCGUAAGCUUCGACUAUGUCUUGAAGGCUCGUUACCGGGCGUAAGUCGGACUGGAGCUCCACCGCCUCUGCCAGUUGUUCCUCAGCCUCUGCUUUGGACUCUUACGCCUGCUUCAGGGUGGUUUGGUAAGCCUCGUUUUGGCGUCCCAGAGUUUUCUUUUCCUCCUCCAGGGCAGCUACCCUUGUUUCCAAGGCCUGGAGGGUUUGAGCUUGCAGAACAGCGUUUCUAGCCUGGGCGCGCCAUUCAAGGGCCACCGCCAAGAAGGCCCCCAAGUAGAAAGGCAUGCCCUCCUUCCUGUCGGUGCCCUCUGGCAUUGUUCCACCACUGAAGCCCCUCAUCAGAUGCAUGAUUGGAGGAGGGAUGGCGAUAAAAUCGGGGGCGACAGCGACGGGGGCAGGAGAAGCAGAGACCUCUGCCGGUGGCGGGGUUGGAGCAGACUCGGCGCCUUCACCUAUAUCCUCUUGGACGGUUGUGGGGGGAAGGGAAGUAGCGCUGGGAGGGUUGUCCCUGAAAGAAUCCUCUCCCUGGGGCGACGCCGCCGGUAGGAGGGGAACCCUUGCAGAUUUCCUCCUCUUGAAGGGUGCCACGCCAUCCGAGUCCUCAUCGUCGGAUAUGAUCUCCAAGACCCGUUUCCCUUUGUCGAGGGGGGUUGGGGCCGGCGAUGAGGCCACGGCAAUAGGAAAGGCGGCGAUGGGCGGAGGAGAGCCAGGAGUCUGAAGCGCCUCAGGGCUAGGUGGGGACGGUGAAGAUGAGCCUAGUGGAGCUUCAGUAGGGGUCGGUGGUGGCAGAGGCAGGGUCGAUGGGGGGUUCGGGUCAGCAGCAGGGACAGAGGAGGCGCCCGCUUUGGCCGCACGGGCGUCCUUUAUCGCCUUCGCCAGCAUCAUCCUUUUGGAGGCGCCCAUCACCGAUCCUACAUUCAGAUAAACCAAGCAGCAGAAGUCAAAGCCAAAGCAAUUGUGCAAAAUCACAAAACGCGUAGAAACGUGAAACGCGAAUCACAUGGCACAAUGGAAAACAAGUGAAAGAAGCCAGAGAAACAAACAUAUAGUAGCAAGGCACAGAUAACAAAAGAUGGAAAGGGAAGGGUCUCCCUACCAAAAUAUNNNNNNNNNNNNNNNNNNNNNNNNNNNNNNNNNNNNNNNNNNNNNNNNNNNNNNNNNNNNNNNNNNNNNNNNNNNNNNNNNNNNNNNNNNNNNNNNNNNNAGGUCUGUCAUCCACGCAGACAGGUUCCCCAGGCCUGCCGGGACGAACAGAUAUGUGCGCGUCGUGAGUGCGGCAGACGGUGUUAAAGUUGUACAAGUGGGGAUCCCCACGAUGAGCUUCCAGGUCCUAGAAGGUAGUCAGGCUGGUACACUCGUUCAAGAGCUCGUCAGGGGCCCAUGGGUAGAAGGCUUUGUAGUUGGACUUGGGGGUCUUGGGGGGAGAACCAGGCUGGGAGUUCGGGCGCGUCAUGGUGUGAAUAAAUAGCUGGAGAAAGAAGAAGGAAAAAGCCUUUUAACAAAGUGAUGCCAAGAUAGAAAAGGGGGUAAAACCCCAGGAAAUACCACCCACCGAGAAAACCCAGAAGGAAGGAGAAGGGAACAGAGAAGAAAGGAGAAGCGGAAAAACGCAGUAGUGCAUAAAUGUAAACAGUCCCAGGCAGUUCAAUAAACCAUGCAAUGCGACGAAAGAGAAGAAUCGAGAUAUGCAAAAAUCAUACCUUUGUUGUCGAAGUAAGGGAGGAAGGAGAGCACGAAGGAAAGAGCGAGAGUUGCAGGGAAAGGGUUUGAGGACGAUGAACAGUGCGGAGAUGCAGAGAGAAUGGAUGUAACAGUGGUGUGAGCGCGGGGUUUGGGGUAACUUGAACGUUACUUUUGCAACCCAAGAGGCGCUAAUCAGGAGCUGUGAGAUCGUGCCGCGUGUCAAAGGAUUAAGCGCCCCAAGGGAGCGCAAGAGACUCCAGAGGCUGGCCGUGUGAUGAGCCACGUGGCGCACGAUUAAGCGUAGCCCCAAAAGGUGUUAUUUUCCCCGCUUCAGAGGAUGUCCAAUCAGCCAUUAAGAACACCCCUAUGGUUCAGAGAGUGUCACGUCAGUAAUUCGAGAAUUGUUGAGUCAGCAGGGAAUGACACGUCAUCAGGGUGGCACGUGGAUGGCGUGGGCGAGGCCUUAGUCUUUGCGCUGAAGACAAGUCUUCGGCUUAAGACUGGGGGGCUUGUGUACCAUCCCGUAUCCGAGCGUUGAGAAAGUCAAGGUCAAAGUCAACGCCUGGAGUCAAACUCAACACAAGGCGUCGCCUAGGUGAAGAGACGCCAAGUGCCAGCGUCGCCAAGAGGAAGCGUCGCCAAGGCAAGGCGUCGCCUAGGUGAAAGCGUCGCCAAGGCAAGGCGUCGCUUAGGUGAAGGCGUCGCCUAACCAGGGCGUCGCCAAGAUCAAAUAUCAUUAAGUCAAGGCAAUCACAGUGCGGUUUCCCGAUACCCAUGGGUAGGAAAAACCAUGGAGGGAGCGACGCCGUGGGAAGGCCUCAGGUCCCGAUAAUCCGGGGUGGUGAUAAAGAGAAGGAAAAGGUGGCUUCAAGGCCAUAGUGACAACACCAGUGUAGGGCAGCCCGACUCGUGAAGUACCCCUGCCGCCCCAGAGACGCCUUUGGGACAGAUACGACUCAAGGGGAGGGUCACGCCCAGGGUAGCCAGGCGCAGGGUACGAGAGGAAGGCAGAUACGCUCUCAAAGUGAGUGACUAGAUGAUUGGGGGCACGAGUUGGCACCCAAAAAAGUCACCCCUUGCGCACUAGCACUCCCAAGCAAGAGGACUCACACGUAGAAACGUCCCCAGAUGGGCAGAAACGUCCCCAGGUGGGGUCAUGGCGCGGUGAGGCCCUCCACGUGUACGACGGCCAGGUCAGAAUAGAAACACCAUUUAGUCAGGUAUCAGGUAAUUAAAGUCAUUUAAUACAGUUUAUGUUUCGAGCGUUUAAGGUACUAUAAAGGCUCCCAAGCGUUUCAACGUCUUAAAUGCGCUACGUUUUCUAAUUAGACACGCUAAUUAAGUGCGUUACGUUUUAUGAUUAAAAGCGCUUUAAGGCGCUUUAAAUGCUUGGGUAGUUUAAAUAGCGUUGAGAAUGUUGGAAACAGGGUUCGAACUUUUGGCAAAUUUUCCAGAAACUCUCUAGUUGCUUGCUCAAGCCUUGAGGUUACGCAUAAGGGACUAGGGAAAGAUGUUUGCUAGAAGGAGAAAUAUACACUAGACACAGUUUCCUUUUACCACCUUCAGAGUGCCAUACGCGGUGCUCCGAUACGGAGGUGCACAGUUUUUGGUGUUUCUUGCUGUCUGACUUGAGCGUCGGAGUGCAAACGGCCGCUAGGGCGCCCUUUUGUCCUUCUUUGCAGGAUUUCACAGGUAACCAGUGGGAAGGAGUCCCUAGCUGACGGUUGAGGUCGCGCACGAAGACGUCCGAAAUCAACCGGACGGAACAGAAUAGCUUUAAAUAUACCUCCUUUUAAAUUUGAGACUUAUAAAUAUCUUAGAUGAAAACAUCUAUAGCAAAUUAGCAAUGCAUGAUAAAUGAUAGUAAGGCUUCUUCACUCAUAUAAUUUAAUGAUAUUUUUAUAAUUCAUUUAUAUAUUUGAAAGUUAAAUUAAUCUCUAAAAUGAUCAAAUUUUGUAAUAAAUACUUCAAAAACUGUAUUUAAAAUAUUUUUAAUUGAUUGAUAAUGCAAAUACUUUUUCACUAAUAAUAUGUUAAAACUAAAUUAAAAAAUUAUUAAAAAUAUACCGAGACCAUAGAUUUUUAGGUUAAUUAAGAACGCAGAGAAAGUACUGGACAAAAAUACAAUUAUAUUAUCUAAUAUGAAUUUUCUUUUCAUUUCUUAAAUGGAAAGAAAGCGAAAAUAUUUUAUUUUUAUUUUUUGAGGAAACCCCCCAAAGAAAGUUAAAUGGUUCAUUGUUGUGAAAAGUAGUGGAGUGAGGGUUUUACGCCGUAGAAGCACCACAACGUUGUCUCUGCCGCUCUUCUCCGCCACUCUUCUCCGCAGCCGGUAAAUGCAGUAUUGUCUUCACUCUUUCAUUUCUUCACUAAGACAAAGCCACACACAUUCGAAUUAGUAUCUUCUCUAUUCAGUUCGAUGCAUUAUAUAAACUCCAUUUCUCAUUCUUUUCCGCUUGCAUUUCAACACAUUACUCUUUUUCUUCGCGCGCGCGUGUUCAGGGUUUGCUUACUGUGUACGACUAACAAUAACUACUAACGAUUGAAACUCUGUAACGUGUGGUUGCGAGUAUGCAGUAUGUGAAUUAGAAGAAGAGGAGAAUUUGUUCGUUCGUUGUGUGGGUGAGAGAAAUGGUUGAAAUCUGGUGGUCGCUUUUGGGGGCGGCGAUCCCUGUGGUGGUUGCUGGGCAAGCGUUUCGGGUAAAGAAACGGCACGCGGAGGAGCAGAGGCUAAAGAGUGCUCGAGGGAGGGAAAGGAGUUCUGAUGAAAUUUUCGUGUGUGAGAGGGUUUGCACAUCCAAGAGGAUGCUCAAGAAGGUUGGCUCCUUCUCCAAAGACCCCAUUCCCGAUACCUGCGUCACGGUUUGUGGUGUUUCCGAUCUUGACGCAUGUGCUGAUGCCUGUGCCCGCACUGUUUGUGUCAACCAACAUCAAGUGCCAAAUUGGAAUGACAUUUGCCUUAGGAGAUGCCAGAGUGAAUGCCUCAAACUCUCUUCCCAGUCCUCCUAGCAGGUGCUCGCUUGCAUUUACUCAGUGAAAUGUGUGCGUGAGUGUAUGUAUACUGAAUACUGAGUUUUGGUACUGUGGUUUAAUGCUUUAUCUAUCCCAUGAUUUUUACUAUGAGUUCAGAAUUAUUGCAAAAAAAAUCUAUUGAAAUGUAAAUGGGGUUUAUUCCAUUAGGUGCUGGGUGCUGGUUCAUUUUUGUUUACUGACUUGAGAUCUAAAUGUGUCUUUCUUUUCGUGCCUCUUGAAAUUUGGAAGGAAUUUUUAUGGAGGAUGUUGAGAUAUGGAAAGGGCAGAAAGACCUGGAUGGACACUAACCUAAAUGUGAUGUGAUCUUUCACGUUUUCAUUGGUUUCCAAAUUUGAAUGUGUUGUCAAGUCUUUUAGAUAAGUUCUCACCUUCAAUGUCAUAAAAGUAAUCAAACUUCAGUGGCUUCUUUCUACUCUCUGUGUGGCUUGUGUCCAUCUCUUCACACCAUCUCUUCUCUUCGCUUAGACUCCGUUGGCAGAGAAAAAGAAUAGUCCCGCCACCACCUAGACCUGUCUUCUCUAUGUUUCUAAAUAUAUUGACAUUGAAAUAAUUUCCAACUUCAUUCCUCGAUAUUAAUUUCUGGGUAUUCUUCGUGUAAUGUCAUGAUCAAAAAUGUCUAUGCGGAAACGAGCAAUUUUGGAGUGACAACAACCCGUUUGAUGAAAUGCCCAAGAGAUGUCAAGUCUUGCUAUAUAGAAUGCAAAGGCAAUGAUAACAAGAUUGACCAAGUUUGAUAUAAGUGAAGAGUCUUUGUUCAUAUUAUCUAUAGAAUGAAUGAGUUGAGUUUCAUUUAGCAGGAUUUGAGUGCUUUAUUUGCGGGACAAGCUGUUUACACCUGUGUUAUCAAAUAUGGGUCAUACUUUUUUAUCCUAAUAUCCCUGAAAUUAAGUCAUUUGUUCUUCAAUUCACAGUUACUAUACAAGUAUGUAGCAGGUUCUAGACUAUGACUUCUGACAUUUUUUUCAUUUCAUUGAAUAAAAUGACCCAAGUUUUCUAUUUUAUUCAUAUAAUUAUAAUUUCUUAGGAAUAUUAGAUGAUGUAAUUUUAGAUAACAAAGGACAAGUAUAGAUUUCUGUCAAAAAACCCACCUCUGAUUUAAGGUAAGAACUAGAACAGAUGUUUUUCUAAGCAUAAAUUUGAGACAAACUCUUGGUUCUCACUAUUAUGAAGAAUUAAAACUACAGUGAGCAAUAACUUGAAAGAUGGUGCUAAAAUGUAAACCGAAAAUUUUGGUUUUUGUUGGAAGAACCAUUGCGCUUCAACGGAGGUUGGCAUUAAUUACUCACAGAACUACCACAACCAUUAGAGAGUGAACCUGGAGGCAUGGUCGCUUCUCUUUAAUAUGAUACUAUUUUUAAUGGGUGUUAGUUUCUAGUUGAAUGUAUCCAACACAACAUGUCACGUUUGGGUUAUGUCCACCCAAGUCUUUCUCAUGGAAAGGGUAAAGUGAAUAUCCUCUAUGAAGUAUUUUUUUUAACCAAAUUUAUAUAGAAUGUUGUGAACCUCUUCGUGGUUUUAAGCGACUACUUUAGUUUAUCCCUUUAACUCCUUGGGCAUUCAGAAGUAUUUCACUUAUUAAUAAUUUAGUUAAAGGUUAAAGGAGAGAAUAAUAAGGAGAUUAUCUUUGUUUGCAUUUUGCAAGAACAUACAUAUAUCCAGAGUGGGGCUUUGAAAGACGAAUCUCUAUUUAGAAUGGAAAGUUUUAAUAUGGUUGGGGCAAAAGAAUUAUCACUUGUAUUAGUAUAGUUAAUCAUAGUGCAUUUUAAUUAAAAUUGAUGGAUGUGAAUUUUCAAUUUUCUAAUUAUUGUAUUAAAUUGACGGAUACAAUCAGUUCACAUGCAAAUAUCUUUGUGAUUUGAAUGGGUGGUUAUUAAGGAUUACUUAGUAGAGUGAACUUGAGGACUUGAGUCUGCUCUCAUCAGUUUUAGGUUGUAAUCAACUGAGAUAGAAUAGAAUAAAGUGGAUAGUUCUUUCUACACCCAGAUGUAUUCGGUCUUGACGUAUCAUAUCUAAAAUUCUAAUUCCUCCCUUGCGUUCCCUAAGUGUGUCUGAUUAAACUCAUGAAAACAGUUUUAAGAUUCUUAUAAUUUUUAAAACUUGUUUCAAUAAGCUUUAUGCUACAGUUUAACAACAUAAAGCUUAUGCAGAAAAAAGUCCUAGAGUUCAUCUCGUAUGUUUUAAUCCAUUAUCGAAUCAGCGGGUCAUAAGGUGCCCUGAUAAAUUGUUAUUGAACAAGUGUUACUAAAUUAGUUGUACAAUAGCAAAGCUAGAAGACACUGAUAUCUCCUUUUGAGUUGGAAUGAAGUCGAACUAUUCCACUGGUGUUAGUUAUAGAGUUGCGUUUUGUUGGAAAAACUGCUAAAAAUACUGGAAUCACUUGAUAUUUAUUGCAUUUACUACUGAAAUCCUCUAUCACUGGUAGUGACGAUAUCCUUUACAGCCUUACAAGUGUAGAUCUGUACACGGAGAAUCCUCUCUCUUUCAAUCGUAAACUAUGUACCACGCUAAUGUGAUAAUUAUCUAUUUCCAUUUUGUAUUUCCUUCUCUGUCAUUUCAAGAAGAGAAAGGGAGACACGAAAUGAAGAUAAUCGAUUUUAAUUUGAUAUGAUACAUCUGGGGACACGAUUUUGAUCUUUUAUAAUUUCUCAUCUCUCAUCAUAGCAUAAAAUUCUCAACAAAUUAUUAAAUUGAAAUUAGCAUGGUAAAAUAGUGUAAAAAGAAAAAAAAAAGACAAAAUUGUACCCUUGCAAUAAUUGUUUUGUUUCAACUAAUAAUGACAUUUAGACACCAGGGAUGAUACUUACCAUAUCUUUUCUUCUAUAAAAAAAAUAAAAUCAUCUCUGCAAUUUUGAGAAGUUGAAAAUAUAUGACAAGGAUGGACGUUACAAACACCCUAUUUUGGAGAAGUGUGCAGAAUUGGAAAACAAAGUAACCGUGCUUUUUUUGGGCAAUUUUUGGGUUUCCAUGAAGGAGGACAAUUUCUUAGAUAUUUGGGUUAUCAAAGAAAAUAGUAAAAUUUAUUCCGUAACUUAAUUCAUCAGGCUAUAAAUUCUAUCACAACAUACAUCUUUUUUUUCUUACACAUCUAAUGGUUAGAAGUGUAAGGAUGCAUGCUAUUUGUCACUCAAUCAUCGAUUCACUGUAGUUCUUCAAGCUGAUGUUUAAUUCAUUGUGUCUUUUGAUUUAAUGUUUCAGUGUGCAACUGUGAAAGGAACCAAGAAUCAUAAGAAAUACAAACAUUUGUUGACAAAAGCAUGAGCAUAAGUAGAUGUGGACCCACAUAUUCCUUUUAUAUUCUGCAGUAGAUAAAACUGAGAACAGUGAAGUGGGUUUUGGGAGUGUGGGUUCAUACAGUUGAUACAAACCUUCAUAAAAAACUUGACUUAAAGAGUAACGUCAAUUACGAGGGGGAUAUUCCACAAGAUGCCUCUCUAAGCCACCAACUUCCAUAUGUGACAACAAAAAUAGCAUACUUCUGUUAUCCUAUAAGAUGGCUUUAUCUGUUUGAAUCAUAUCCAAUUCAUAUUUGUUUAUUGUUUCAAAUAAAUAUAUGGGAAUUGGGUCAGAGAGGAUCCAAAAUUUUUGCGAUCUGCACAAACACAACUUUCUUCUUGUAAAUGUUGGGAUUAUUAAUAACGAAGUAAUACUUCAACAUUUUAAACAUUGUCAUCAACCUUAAUUCAAUUUUUUGUUACCAAAUAAUCAUUUAUUGCAUUUUUCCUUCCUUCUAUAUUUUAAGUACACCACCUAUUUUAUUGAAUUAUCAUAGUUAAACUUAGUUAAAGAGCAUUUUGAAUGCAGGUUAUUUAAUUUGCUUUUUUAUGGAAUUAAUUAUAUCACCUCAACUAUUUAAGAUUUUUAUGUGUACUUUUUUAUAACACUAGAGUUUUGAUCCAAUUUAAUCCUAUUUUAUUUACACUUCAACUUCAAAAUAUUUAAUCUUAAUUUUUUUAUUAUUAUUAUGAAUAAUUUCUUGUUAUUGAUUAUUAUGAAUAAUUUCUUGUUAUUUAUUAUUGUGAAAUAUUUCUGACACAAAAAUUACUAUAAGAUUCAUAUUUUCAAUUUAUAACCCUCCUUGUAUUAGAGAUACUCUACUAUGUAGAUGGAAGUGUAAUUGUUUUUCCACUUGCAAUAGAUUAAAAAUAAAUUUAAAAUUAAUAAUUUAUGAUAAAAUAAAAUUUUAGAAACAAAAUUUAUCUUCUUUUACUGUAUGCGUAACAUCGUAUUACCGUGUAUUUAUACAUGCAUAUACAAAAUAAAAUUUUAAUUAAUAUAAUUCAAAAUAUGAAGUUGUAUAAUGUCCCGUAAUGGCUUCUUCGAACGCGCUUAAAUUUGACAUCAAAAUAUGUAAGGUCUGGGUUUUACAUCUGGAUUAAAUUUGAUUUACAUGAAAAUAGUAUAAAACUUUUAUUAUUAUUAUUAUUAUUAUUAUUAUUAUUUACUAUACUAUUAGCAUAAAAAAAUUCAUUAAUUUAUUGGCAAACAAUGUAAUGGCUUGAAUUCAUUACUGACAUUCAAAUAAAUCAAUUCCUCACAUGCAAUACUCGUGAAGGUACUGCUGUUUAGAGGCUUUCUAAUUUAUGCCAAAAUGAUUAUUUUUAUCAACUUUUAUUACUUCAGAAAUUAAUCUCUCAUCUUUUAAGCCUUUUCAUUUAGUUAACAUUUUGACUAUGCUGGCUCAUUUGUAAUAGCUUUCUGUCACCACCUGCAAGUAGAGAUUAUAUAAACAUAUCAAUGUUAGGUUCCUUUAAGUAAAUUUCUCCCUAACUCCUUUGAACCAAAAAAAAAAUUGAGUUUGUCCUUAAACCAAAAUUACUUUGUGUAAAAGUUAAUUUGUAAAAAUUUGCAAAUUAAUUUUAGUUAAUAAAAAUAUUUAUUUCAUCUUUCUUUUCAAUUUUGUUCUAAAAAUGUUUAUGGAGAAACUUAUCCAAACAUACCAUUAAUCACAUUCUAUAUGCAUACCUUACUGUGAUGGGAGGCGAACUCUCCAUGCUUGGUCCUAUCAAAAGAUAAGUUAUUGAAAAGAAUUGUAGUGCAAGAAGUAUUCAGGUUAAUGUUCUAAUGAACAUUUAAUUAAAGGGAAUGUAUUUUCAGCAUUGUAAUUCCAAAUUCAAGGGUGAAUACAAAAGCAAAUACAAUAAGAUAUUGAGAUAUAACAUUCAUGGAACUAAGUAAAAUGAGUGACACUUCAAAGUUUCCAACCAUAAAUGAGUGCUAAAUGCUAAUCCCAUUUCUUCUCAUUAACAACUGUAACAAGCUCAAUCUCAAUGCUAUAAUUUACCAAAUAUUCUGAAACAAACCUUUUACAAAAUCAAUCCUCUUCAACAAAAAAGAAUGAGGAGAAAGAUGGUUACAAACUAUGAAUUGUGAGAAAAGACAAACAUAACUAAUUCUCCUAAAUAAGAUAACAUCUGAGUGUAUUAAAAUUACAACCCUACACAGAAUGAAAACCUGAUUAAUGUAUAAAUCCUCUAAAUCUUCUCUUCACUUUUUAUAAUACAGUAAGAGAAUGAUGACUGCUAAAUAACCUCAGAUCUAACUUUAGUUAUGACAGAUCCUGUGCAAGAUUGGGCUGAAGAGUAGGACUUUGUGCAUGAAUUAUUGCCACAGCAAUGGAGAAAGACUGUAGUGCAGACAGAGGUGGAUGAAAAUGAAUAUAAUAUACACCAUCAUGAACAUUAACCAUCCUCAAGGUGGGGCCGAAAUCGCUUGAACCCUGAAAUUUGAGGGGUGUGAUCAUCUCAUUGCAUACUUAAAAAAACAAAUUUAAUUGUUCAAUAAGAACAGAAAGUAAUACACAAUUACAGAUAAACUUGGGAGAAAAUGCAUGAAGGUCAUUUCCCCAUCACUAAAUGCUUUUAUUGACAAUUUGGUUUCUAACAGACCCCAAUGAUGUAAUAUCCAUUCUACCAUUCUAGUCGAUCCUUCCUAGUGAGGUAAGGCUUGGUGAUGGUGGCUAACAUAUAACUAUAGGAAAAGAGAUCACAUAUGAAAACGAUCAAAAAAGUGUUGGAGAUUCCAGAUCGACUAGAAAUUAAACUUUUCAUAAUAUUUAACUCAAUGCAAGCCUCAUUUUAUAAGUCCAUUUUGUAAAGUUAAGUUAGACUUAAAAGUUCACUUCUUAAUAUGAUAUUAGAGUGAUUUAAAAGCCUAUCCUAACCAGAAUUGAUAAUUUAUGGAGAAAUGCACACAUUUUAACAAAAACCAAUAUUUCCAGGUCCCACACUCGUUGCCCCUCCCCAACCAUAUGAUAAUAUGAGGUCACUAACAUUGUUUAAAGAGAAAAGAGAAAGAAGCAAAAUAUAAUAAGAAAUAUAAACAGACCUGAGUGACCAAAUCAACUGACUUGCACUCGUAUUGUGUAUCUAUUUUAGACAUAACCUCAGGUUUGUUGGAUCUUCUCUCAAGUACUGUCAGAGGGCACCCCUCAUCCCAACCACCACAGUCACAGCGGCCACCAGAUCUCCAUCUAUCUAUCAGACUGGAUGGUCCACCAUUUCUGGUUCUUGGCCCACCAUGAAAGCCUGCUGGAAUUAAAAUGCUCAUGCUGGUUGAAUAGUCCCCAUUAUUUUGAAUACAACUUUCAGAAGGCACUGUGACUUCAUUUCCACCAGACUUGUUAAGAAAUUUUAAACCCCAACCCCCUCUUACUUUCUCUGGUCGUUUACAAGGAAGAUGGCUUUUCACAACAAUGGCAGCCAUCUCUGGAAGAGUGUCACUCUCUAAUAAAUUGGUCCCACCAAGAGCAUUCGGCUCCCACGGACAACUCUCUGUUAUGGAACUUGAUCCACCAAACUUUGAGACUGUUCUUCGUUUUGAUGAUGGGCUGGUUCUAAAAACUUGUGACACCUUCUUUGACAGGCCCCUGUUCUUCCUGCGAUAAUGCUCUGACGUGGACAUUUCUCUGUCAUUAAUUUCAACGUUAAGGAAUAAUGUAAACUCUGUCUCCCUUAUUCUACAAUUGUUCGGGCAAAGGGUGAAACUUGUUGAUACAUUCAUCUUCCCAACAAAUGGCAAAUCACUGUCGGGAAUAUGGUGACCCUUUUGGCCACCCUUGUUCAAAUGAAAUUCAUACACAUUGUCCACUGCUUGGUUAUCCGUUGAGUUUACCUUCCUCGAUUUUGCUACGUAGACCUCCUUCUGAUCAUCUGCAGAAAAAACAAAAUGAGGAAUCCCAUGCUUCCAAGUACAUUGGAUCAUUCCCUGAGAUAGAGUAGAAGAAGCCGAAGACAACUGAUCAGAACCAGUAGAGGUGGUGCUAGAAGUUGAAACAAGCCUUUUAUGAACAGAAAUGGAGCCAUGCUUAUGACUUGGUUUGUCCUUUUCUAAUUUAUACAACGAAGUGAUAGGUAAAUCAGUAGGAGAGUCCAUAAAAUCAUAGCAUACCAGUCCUUCAGGAUCAGAAAAGUUCAUCCUGUUCAAAUUGUCACUUCUAUGUGAAGCACCAAAUUGCUGAAGAAGUGUACUAUUCAAGAUAUUUAUCAUACUCUUGGUCUCCAUUAUUGUACCUAAACUCCACCCAUCUCCACUAUUACCACUUAUAACUACUCUCCCACUCUCACUAGCCAGAGGACAUUCAAAGACAAAAUGCCCUGAACCAUAUGCAUUUCCACCAAAAAAUUUAGGUUUAUUCAAGCUUUCUGAUAAAGUUUCCAUGUUUGUGGCCCUUAAUGCAGUGUUGUGUAUAAAUUCCAGGCAGCGCCGGACAUAUUUCUCGUCCACACUCACCACAUGCUUUGGAAUCCUACUGUCCAGUCCAUGGACACGUCGAACGAAUAUAUCCUUGAAGAAAACUUUGCUAAUUUGUGAUUGGAUAGCAUUUACAGCUAUUGCCCGUUGAGUGUUUGAUCUUUUAAUCAUCUUCUUUAACUGUGAUUUUGAAGACUCUUCCUCUGACAUUUCCCUAUCAUUCAAUAACCCAAGCAAUGAGUAUUUUCUUCUGUGGCCCUCUUUCUGAAUCCAUAUGCCUGUAUUUUCCAUCUUCUCUAUCUCACCAUCAUCUUCCUUCGACCAAAAAUGAAGGAUUGUAUUAUACAAUCAAAUAACCUGAAAGAAUACAGAAAACCAAAAAUAUUGAAUCUGUAACUAGCAGUUUAUGCAAGUCUUCUAUGUAUAUGACAAGCGACUUCUAAAAAUUAGUCAAACAUAAAAGAUAAACGCAGAUAUAGUACGGAAAAACCAGAAAUCCAUUCACGUACAGAUUGCAUAUGGACAUGUUCAGGACUAAGAAUGGGAAUUUGCAGAACAAAAUACUUACAUAUCAAUAAAUUUCAUCAGAAAAUUCCUUGACUAAUGAAACUCAAAGAACCAACAAUUCCAUAACGUAUCCAACAGAUACUUCUUCACUCGGUUAUAGUAAACAAACACACUUGCACUAUCUAAUAUUCCAUACUAAACAAACCAAAAAAGAGGCUUUAAAAUAUGUAAAGAUGAAGAAAAUAGGAAGCUUCCAACUUCCCUCAUCUAACAAUCUUCAAACCCAAAACACAUAGUCAAUCAACGUCUUAUAACAGAAACCAACUAAAUCCAUAGCAGCAGAAGCCACAAAAGUGCUCCGGUAAGAAAUAAAUAAAACCAUAAACGAAAAAAGGACAAUAAUAAUAAUAAUAAUAAUAAUAAUAAUAAUAAUAAUAAUAAUUUUUUUAUUACCAAAUGAAGCUGGAUCCGAGAAGGGCCAAGAACACCACAACGAAAUUAACACAAAGCAGUAAGGCAGAAGAGAACUCUUUCAAUCCUGAAAAGUUGAGCUUUUCAACCCCAAAACCAAAGAAAGAGGAGACCCAGUAGAGCCAAGGAGACAGAGAAAUCAAAGCAAGGCGAAGAAAGCCAAGUCAGCACAUGGGGGAAGGAAAAUCAGAGAACAACCACCAGCGAAUGUAAGGAAACAGUGUUCCAAAAAUUGAGUUUUAUAAUCUUUCAACAAAAGGGUGCAGCAGUGUUUGCAUUUGACACCAUAUUAGAGAGAGAAAGAAGGAAGAAAAAGCAAGGUGAAACAACAACAACAACAACGGUGAGAAGGUGAAGUGAAGGGUAGAAGACGGGGUUGAUGAUGGUUGAAAAUGUGUACUUUGAGAAAUUGAGAGAAAAAUAAAAAAGGAUGGUGAAGUAGGACCCAGUGGGGUGUUUGUGCAUGUUCUGGGACAAGUGUGUAGGCAAAGAAUUCCAACAUGGAUAAAGAAACUAAGGGAAGCAUAGCAGUUUAGCAUAGACUUAAGAGAGUCAUGAGCUGGUACGCAUGAUAGGUAUGUGACUCCACUAAAGCCAAAGGUGCUGCCGUGCCACUUGCACAUAUUCAGAUAUUACCAUCUUCCCUUUCACUUUCCCUUUUCUCCGUUUCUCAUUCUGAAUCCCUUCAAUUUUAUAUAUUUUCCAUGCAUGUGAUGGAGAGAGAAAUUGGGUUACGUGGCACUUGGUCAAGUACAUAUAUACCUUACCAUGCUUAUUGACCCCAGCAAUUGACCAUUGAAGCCUUCAUCAACACAGAUACACACAGAAAUCCACUGUUAAGCACAUGACACCACAGUGCCACACAUUCUCAUUCUUGCUUCCCUUUUGCGCCUACUUUCUUUAUUGCUUUCCUACCAUUCAUUUAUUCAUUUAUUUCUUGGGAGGCGUUGCAACUCAUCUUAUUUAUUUCUCUUGUUUUCACCCAAUCAUUAAUCACUUCCAUAAAACUACCUUUUCUACUCGCCCAAAUCAUCUUCUUCUGCCCUGUAACCAAACAUUAAACCCUAAUUUUUCUCCCACACGCUUUCGAAUAGUUUGACAUUUUCAGGACUAAAAAUUAAGAUGCUGUAUAUUAGAUAAAUGAAUGUAAAUUUUAUAUAAAUUUAAAUUAGAUUUAGAAUCUAUUUUUUAAUAUACUAUUAUAAUUUAUUUAAAUAAGGAUUUUUCAGUGUCUGAUUUAUUAUUGAUUUUUUAAUAAAUAUAUAAUUUUAAAUACAAAAAGAGUAUUCAUAUCAAUUAAAAAUAUUUUAAUAUAUAAGUAAUUUCACCUUUUUGUAAAUCAAUUUUAUAAAAUUAAAUUAAGUUUAAAUUUAAUUUUUUAAUGUUUAUUAAUCACUUUCUUUCAUUUGUUUUUAAAUCACGCAGAUUGAUCGAUCAACAAAUCCUAAAACUGGAAAAAGCUUAUAGAUUGCUUGGCAAACAUAAAAUUUGGAGUGGAAAUAAAUUAAAUUGCACUAAUUUUUAUUUAUUUUUAUCAGCAAUUAAUGUAAUGUGAGUUGAAACUUAAUAGUUAUUUAUUGUAAUUAAAUGAAUAGUAUUGUAGAGGGCAGCCAUUGAAACCCAAUUAAAGCUGUGCCUAACUGUAAAAUUACUUUACAACGGAAUUCUUCUAGAUCCUGCGUGUCUAAAAUUUUAAACCUUUCUUUGCACGGGAACAAAUAUAAUAUCAACACGUUUGAGAGGAAUAAAAUGAAUACCAAUAGAAAAAAGAUAGUUCAGUAUAAAAUAGAACUACAUAUACAUAAAAAUAUUAAAAAAAUGGUUAAUUAAGACUCAAUAUUUAAGUUGUGAAUUAUAAGAUGCCAAAACUUAUAAUGUUUCUCCCUCAGUGGUUGAGGCAGAAGACUUAAAAAGUGUAAGCAAAAGUUGUCCCUACUUAAUUUAAGAAAACACUUUAACAAACAAAUAAAGGCUUUUAAAUAAUAAUGGUGUGUUUGCUAGUGGGGGAAAUAAACUUGUUAAAAAUGGAAAAGGAAUGGAAUAUGAAAAUCUAAAUGAUUUAGUAGAGUGAAAUUGCGUGAAAAUGUGAAAAGAUGUUGGAUGCUGUUAAAAAUAUUUCCAACCUCUUCAGGCUUUUAAAUUUAUUUAUUUAUAAAUCAAAUUUACUUACAAUAUUAUUUUAUCAUGUAAUUUUAUUUAAAUUGUAUUUUAAAAUUAAUUUUUAAUUUAUUUUAAAUAAUUUAAAAAAAAAUAAAAAAAAUACCUGAAUACUCACGGAUAAAUAAAAAAAAUGAGAUAAAUAUUUUUAAAGAAACGGACAACAGGUAGGUAGUACCGAACCUACUGCCAGUUGUUAACCCUAAUCCUAAUGUAAGCCUAAUGCUAAUGUAGUGUAUUAAGUGUUGGUAAAUAAUUUAUGGUUAAAGAAGACUUUGAGGUUAUUCUAGAUAAAGUGAUCAUUUCGUUGAUAUAACAAUAAUAAUGAUAAAAACUAAUAGUAAUAUUGAUAAACAAAUAAUAUAUCUUAAAAAAAAAUACUAUUUUUUAUUAUUUUAUUCUUAAUUUUUUAACUAAAUAAAUUAUAUUUUUCAUUUUACUUUUCAUCUCUGUUUUUUUCCUUUUCACUCACCACUCACCGUUUAAACCUGGACAAAAUGACCUCAAACUCCGAUUUUGACUUUUCAAACUAUAAUAUAGGCAAAUAAUGUGAAAAGGUUUCACCUUUUAAAAGUCGUAUGAGUUUGGAAUGAAUUUGCUUAAACAAAGAUAAAGGUGUAUGAUCAAAAAAAGAUUUUAGUGUGAGGUUGUGUGAUCUUUGUUUAUUUGUUUAGUGUAACAAAUAAUUUUUUUAGGGUUUAAUUGAAGUCGUGCAACCUUUAGACAACUUUAAGUAUGCAAAAUUAACAUUAAAAUCGUGCCAUCUUUACACAAUUUCAGUUGAAUUUGAAGUAUAUUGAAAUCAUGUAACCAAGUGAUGACGGUAUCUCAUCAUAUUCUUUUAUGUAUUUAAUCUGUGAAUUGAUUUUUUUUUAGGGAAAUUUAAUAAAUGAUGCAAUGUGUGAUUUUUUUUGACUAUAUGUAUGUUAAAUUGAAGUAAAAGUUGAUUGUACAAAUUAUGAUUUUAUAUGGAGUAAAAAUAAAUUAAUUUAGUAAUAACAUAUCAAGUGAAGUUUAUUUUGAAGAAAUUGAAAAUUAUGAAAAUAAGUUAUAUUAAAUAUAUGGAAAUUACUUAAAUUCCUUUUGAUGUUUGAGUCUUAUUUUGUAUGAAAGUUAUAAUUUUGAAUGGAAAAUAAGAGAAGAAUAAAAGAAAGUUAUGAAUGAAAAUUGAAAUGGAAGUUGAACUUCAAUAUUAUUACAAGAGGGGAAUAAUUUAUUUAUGAGAUGACGUAUCAUAAGGAGAUCUUCUUCUUUAUCUUCUAGGUCUUAUUUCCUCGUUAUGCACUAUAGAUGAAGGGAGGUGGAACUGCAUCAUCGUUAUUAUCUUUGUCAUCAUCAUUGUUGUGAGCUUGACUAUUUGGCACUUAUGAGGGCAUUGUCGAACUAUAAUAAUGCAUGGAUGAGGAUGAUUGGAAUGCAAAUGGAGGAAUGAAUAUGAAAGUUCUAAACAUAUUUGGUUGACUGGAAAAAAAAUCUAAUUAACCCAGAAAGAUGUUGUAUGAUGAUGGAACCCCCUACAAUAGAGAUUGAAAAAGACAUGGGGUGAUGGUAGUUCAUGAACGUGCUGAGCGGUGGUUGUCGAAGACCAGAGUGAAUGGAUUGAUCAAAUGAAUGGUCAUGAAAUUGUUGACCAUGAGGAGAAGACCCAACAUGUUGAUAGGAAGGUUGGGGUUGUGGUUGGUAACUCUCGUGUGGCAUGUCAUACUAUUAAUAAAGAAUGUAAAUUAUUAGAGAAGUAAAAAUGAUGAAAAAUCGUUCAACCACAACAUCCACAAAAUAAGGAGAUUGAAUAUCUAGAGUUUUGUUCAAGGACUUAAUAACAUAAAUGGACCUAACUGGGCUUUUAUCUAUCUUUUUUAGGCCCAAUAAAGAGAAUAACUCUAGGAUGAACAAAUGCACAAAGUAUAUAUGAGAAGAUCUCCUGCCAUAAAAGAAUACUAGAGCCUUAGUCAAAAGACUAUAAAUCAACAUGUUUCAACAAGGCCAAGUCAUCAUCAUUUUGGGCCAAGCUUUAGUUUAAAUAAUUGUAUAAAGUAAACUAAAAUUUCAUGGGUCAUGUAUUGGACCAAGUAGUGUAGAAUAAUUAGGCUAUGAAAUCAAGCCACAUAUAGUAGAAUUAUGGGCUUAUAUUUGAGCCUAUGUUAGAUUAGGAUUUUCUCAAAUCUAGCUAGGAUUUAAAUUGGGCUCCUAAUGGCCCAAGAGAAACCCUAGGCUAGUUAUACAAGGGAAGGGAAAUUCUAACAUGGGCUCCAAAGCUAGGGGUUUUGUAGCUUGUCUUUCAUGUUUCACUCAUGUGGAAGGCAGAACUAGAGUUGGGCUCCAAGGUUCAACUAGAAGCUCCCCUGACACUUUUCCUCUUUUUGAUGACCAAUCCUCAUAUAAAUAGGAGUGCUCUCUCUUGUAUUUUUCUAACUUGGAAUUAGUAAUGAAAUGCUCCCAUUUUUUGUCAUUCUACUUGUUCCUAAGUUCUCCCUAUGUUAGUCUCCUUCAAGACUUGGCCUAGAUUUUUUCCUAGUGAGUUGCUCCCACCUCUCACUCUCAUAUUCCUUUAUUCCACUUCCUCCAUGAAAUUCUAAUGCUUUUAGAAAUACACUUUCUCCAAUCUUCAUUCAAAAGAUAAAUAAAUAACAAAACACUAGAAAAAGUUUCUAUAAAAAACACGAUGAAAUUUGUUAAUAUGUGAGCUUACAUCAUCAUCAAAUGUUUGGUGUAAUGGUGAUAUUGAUUAGGACAUCCAAGCCUAAGGGCAUGGUGAGCAGCAACUUGACCAAGACAUUCAAGACUUAGGUGGACCCAUGACAAGAGGAAGGCUUAGAAAGGCCCAUGAGACAUUGCAGCACAAGGUGGUUAAUCUUUUGGAGGCCCAAUUGCUGAAUUGCCCAUAGUUUAAGAAGACUAUGUUGAUUACAUGUACAACAUGUUUGUAGCAUUAAAAUAAAAUAAUAUUCAUAUUUUACUUCAAGUAGGAUUUAAACACAUAACCAGUUAGGAAGUAUCUACUUAACCACUGGGACAAAUGAUCCUUAUUGAAAUAUAUGGAUUGUAUUUUCAGUUUUUAUUUACUUACAAACGAGACAAAAACCUAUAACUAAAUUUGUAUUUAUACACUUUUGGAAAUCAGAAUGAGGAUGAAUAUUUUGGAAAUUUAAGAGAGAAUAUUUCUUUGCUAGGGUUUUUCCCUGCAUCUUGCGAUCUUAUCAAGAAUAUCCAUCAAUUCUUGUGGCGAUCAUCCUCAGGCUUAUCAAACUUUUUUUGUGGCACCUUCCUCUAUUCAGGUUUUCAUUGUUACUAAUUUUAAUUGAUUCUGUUCUGUAACCCUAAAUUCCUAUUUCCAUUGUUAGAUCUAUUUGGGAAUCAUAUCAGAUAUGUAGCUGAUAAUAUGGUUAUGUACAUCGUGGUGUCACAUAAAUGGUCAUUACCACUAAAUUGAUCACCUUGAAUAAGUUGAUUAUGUCAAUCAUUCCAUAGUGCUAUCCACCUUUUAUGGUAUUGUGACCAAUAACUCUAUGUUUGACCCCUUAUAUCUUCUUGAUGAAGUUGAUCUAGGUUUAAUAGUCACUCAGGAUGGUUUGGCGAAAGCCAAAUUGUUGCCUAACCCAAUCAGCUUGAUGAAAUUCAAUUGUCGCAAAACAAAUCAACGAAAAAACAAUUUGAAAAAUAGAAGAAACCUCAUCAAUAAUCAAGAGAGUAAUAUUGUCCUUGGUGUAUGGAGUCAAAUAAACUACAAAACUGUACCGACUAGUCAUCGGACAUCGACGUUAGGGAUCGACAUCGGACCUCUCCAACAGAGGGAGAGAUCAGACGUCGGUGGUCUGAGCAGUUAUGGUUGGUCACGUAAGGUGGGCCCCAGAAUUAUACCAGUCACCAGUUAAAACAUCAGAGAUGGGAAGAAGCCCUAAGACACGAGGGAUCCAUGCAUGUGGGGUGUAUAGCGCAUUCAGGCGCGACACGAGUGAAUAACCCUUGGAGGCGCGAAGGCCCGUUAGGGUUAGGGUUUCUAAGGGAAGCUGCAUGCAUGGCAUGUGAAUACUUAGGGCACCCACAAAGCAUAUGACACUAGAGAUUAGGUGCACAAGUUGGUACCCAAGCGACCACUCUGUUAUUCGUUGCACUCCAGUUAAGGGAAGUUCUAUGUGCCAGAUACGCUAAGAUUACCUAAAUAGCGGCGCAGGGACAUUCCCCAAGGAACCCUAGAUAGGGGUAACAGAACAGAGCUAAACCCUAGUUUCAACCUAUAUAAAGGGUGCUAAGAACCCUAACAAGGUACACAGUUUCUAAGACUGAAACUACUUGAUACACUUAUUGUUUCUUUGCCCUAAUACUGACUUGAGCGUCGGAGUGCAAACGGUCGUUAAGGCGCCCUUUGUCUUUGCAGGUGAGAGAUUCUUCGAAAAAGGAAGUUCAAUUCUCAGGCGGAGAUAGGCGAGCCAGAGACUGCCGUUCGAGUCAACUGGUGAGCGGGUCAACCAGCAAGCGGGUCAACCGGCGAGAACCAAAACCAUUUGGUUAGAAUGACUGAAUGACAAUGAUGGAUAAUAUUGGUUGUAAGUUUAACAUAAAAGAUAACAUGUUUUGGUUGUAAUUGGUCCAAUGUAAACCUUAUUAGAGACAUUGUACUGGUAGGUUGGUGUUGCAUAUGGGACUAUGCAUGUGACGACUUGUAGUAAGCAAUAUCAUGUUUUAGGGUUUAGUGAAGAAGUUAGAAAUAUAGGCAAAGACAUGGGUUUUGGGGAAAGUAAUUGUUUUCUAAUGUUUAUACAUUUUUGCAAGUGGAAAACCAAGUCAAACGGUAAUCUCUUCUGUAGUUAAUGGUGGAAAAGAUGGAGACAGACACUUAAUGUGUUCCCAAGCCCAACACUGAUGAAGUAGCAUGCAACCACCAAUGUUGUCCUGAUUGAAGUCAAUGACGUGAUCUAAUGCACGAUGCAGACAUGCCAACACAGUUGAACCCUAAUUAUAAUUGGAGGCAUUAUUCAAAUCACCCAAUAAUAACCAUAACAACAAAUACAUUAAAUGCACUUGUUUCAUUUAUGUAUCUGACAUGAGUAAACUCAUAAUAAGUGUAAGAAUAUGCGCUCGUGCAUAUUAAGAAAGGACAUCAUCAGAUGUAUCAUCGGGAAGUUGUUGGAAAUUGUUGUUUAGUCAGGACAAUCUUAUUGUAUUUCCUUUGACAACAUUGUCGGGCCCAACAACUGACUGCAUACUGACACUAGGUCGCCAUUAGUCAAGUCAAUCACAAUUGUUUAUCCAUGUGGAAAAGGGAAUGUAUGUGUCUUUGUUCACCACCUCUCUUUUGAACUUAAAGCUUUGAUGUCUCUAAAAUCCAUGAAGAUUGCUUGAAGACUGGGUUGCUGCAUAUGGGCAUGGGUUCUAGGUAGAUUAGAAUUUUUCAAUCCACUCUUAGCUUAAUCCAGAACUGAAUCAAUCAAGUUCUUUCAAAAGAAAAGUGUUUUUCAAAGUAGUGAAAAACAACCUGUUGAUUUAUUGUUUCAAUCAGUUGUUUUACACUUAAUGGUUUUGAAAAUGAUUUGAAAAAGCUGAAAUUGGCUGACCUCACAGUCAAGGCCAAUUUAAUCGGUUGAAUCCAGCUUUCAAUCGAUUGUCUUUUAAAAAUAUUAGCAGAAUUGGUUAAGUUUGGUAAAUCUGUUUUCCAUGAUUCUAAAUUGUUUUGACCCUUGAUUAAAAGUCUUAAACGUCUAUUUUUGAGGCUAUAUAACUGAUGUUUACAUCUCGGAUAUUAAGAGAGGUCAGAUUACCAAAAAGAAUAAAUUUUUUCAAGAUUACAAGAUUGCUUAAGGCUUUGCUUUUGUUUAGAGUUUAGGAUUUAGGGUAAUCCUUUUGUAUCAGGUGUGAUCUUUCAUGUUCUUACUUUUAUUUCAUUUCAUAUUUGUAAAACUUGUAAGGUACUGGUGUCUAUAGUCAGAGGGUGUUCUGACUGGUAGUGUUUGUGUAUCAAAGAGGGUGAAUGUUCUUGAAUAGACUAUCCUUUAGGGAGGGUGCUUCUAUGAAUAGACCACCUCUAUUUUGUGGUGUAAACUAUCAAUUCUGGAAGGUUAUAAUGGAUUUUUUUUGUAGAAUCAACAUAUAAAGGGAUUUGGGAUGCUAUUGAAAAUGGUCCUUUUAUUCCAAAAAAAGAAAAAGAUGAUGUGUGUGUUGAAAAACCUUGGUCUGAAUGGACUGAGUCAGAAAGCAAGAAAGCUAAAUUUGACUGGAUUGCGAAAAAUAUAAUAACAUUUGCAUUGAGUUCUGAUGAAUUCUUCAGGGUAUCACAAUGUAAAUUUUCAAAGGAGAUGUGGGACAUCCUUGAAGUCACUCAUGAAGGGACAAACGAUGUGAAGAGAGCAAGGAAGCAUGCUCUCAUUCAAGAGUAUCGAGGCAUUUUCUCUAGAAGGGAGAGACAAUCUGUGAUGUGCAUAAAAGAUUCUCUCAUAUUGUUAAUCAUCUUAUGAGUCUUAGAAAGACUUUUGAGAAGGAGGAGCUCAAUAUCAAGAUUCUCAAAUGUCUUGGUAGAACAUGGCAGCCAAAGGUCACAACAAUCUCAGAAUCCAGAGAUUUGACUUCCAUGACAACAACUUCAUUGUUUGGGAAGCUCAGAGAGCAUGAGUUGGAGAUGAACAUGUUUUUUUUUCCAAGAAAAUGAAGACAAACAUGUUAAAAGCAUUGCUCUAAAGAUUUUUGGUCAUAGGAGGUGUCAAGAAUCAAGUGAUGAUAGUGAUGAAGAUACCUUCAGCCUGUUGUCCAAGAAAUUCAGCAAAUUCUCGAAGAAGAAGAACAACAAGAAUCACUCUUCUAAUAGGUACAGUAGCAAGGAGUCAAAUGAUUUUAACUCUAACAAGUAUACUUGUUUUAGCUGUGGUGAGCAGGAACAUGUCAAAGCAGAUUGUUCCAACAAUGAGAACAAAGAGAAAGCAAAAAUCAAGAAAAGUGAGAGGAGAGGCAAAGCCAAGAAGGCAUACAUAGCUUGGCAAGAUAAUGAGGCGUCUUCCUCUAGCUCCCCCCCUCAGAAGAUGCAAAAGUCAAUCUGUGUUUGAAGGCAAAGGAAGAAUAUGAAUCAACCAGUGUAAAUUCAAACUCUUCCAUUGAUGUUGAAAAUUAUAGUCAACUUCUUGAAGCUUUCGAAGAAACUUAUGAAGAAGCCAAUAGAUUGGCCCUCAUAAACAAUAAAUUGAAUGGUUUAAAUAACUAGCAGAAAACUAGAAUCAAAACCAAAAAAGAAGAGCUGGAAAACUCCAGAAAUGAUUUUGAAACUCUUGAACUGAUUUACAAAAACUCUUCUUGUUAGUGUGACUUAAGCUUUUGUAAAAACUGUGAAUCUCUUGAAAAUAAGGUUCAUUAUCUUGUGAAAACUGUGGAUAAACUUUCUGAAGAGAAAUCCAACUUUGAGACUAUACUUGCAUCUCAAAACUGUGUCUUAGGAAAAUCUGGACUUGAUUUUAAUCCACAAAGCAAGAAUAGUGGCAUUUUAAAACCUUUUUCAACCAUUGCAGAAAAACAAUCGAUUGAAAAGUCGAAACAACCAGUUGUUUCUAGCUUUUAUUGUGUGAGAAAGGUCAUUCUAUCAAGUUCUGUAAAGUGAGAAAAGUUUUUGUUCCGAGGGGUAUUUUAAAGUGGAUUCCUAAGAAUCUUAAGGGUUCUUAUGAACAAAUUAAUUCGAUUGGACCAAAAUUUGUAAGGGGAAGGGUUAUCUAAAAGAAUUCAGAAUCCUUGAGCUAGAGAAUCAAGUGUGAAAGAGAAGAUUUGACCUGAACUUUUUGUUGCAGAUCUUAUUUGAAUUUUGAUUGCUUGAAUGUCAUGUGGAUUUCUUUAAUCAUGUAUAAUAACUAAUUGACAGUAAAACUUUCUCUAAAGAAUAAGAGUUUUUUUUUAAAAAUGAUGUUUUCCUUCACAUGAAUUAUGAAUGAUCUCAUUAGAUGUCUUUAAAUACAAAAUCACUCCUUUAUGGAAAGGUAGUGUAUGUAUUUCUAUUAUGAUUCUUCUAUGCCAAUAACCCUUGGUUUGUGAAUCUCAAUUGCUGUCAUAGAAAAAUAACCGAUUGUUUUCACGAAACAACCGAUUGUUUCCCCUCCGACAACAUUGCAUUAAAUUGGAUUCUAUUCUCUAUAGAUUGCUUAUGUUGCAGAUUCUUUCACCAAGUUUUUCAAGUUAAAUUGCAUUAAUCAUGGGUCUGAUUUCGCUCUGAAAGGAAGUUACAUUGGUCUUAAAUAAAAUAUAUUCCAUAUCUUGGAAAAUUAAGAGCCUUUAUGAAUAGUCAAAGUCUUCAUGUGCUUUCCAUGUGAUUUUUGGUGCUGAUUGACGUGGGACUAUGUGCCUUUGAAUAGACUCUUUUUCUUGAGGAAAACAACCCACUAAAAUCCAAAAUAUGAAGCAGCUUUUGGUGCCUAUAUAACAAUGCUUUAUGCAGUUGUUUUUCUUCAAGAAAUCAACCCA